AUUGAACGCUGGCGGCAUGCCUUACACAUGCAAGUCGAACGGCAGCACGGGAGCAAUCCCUGGUGGCGAGUGGCGAACGGGUGAGUAAUAUAUCGGAACGUGCCCAGUCGUGGGGAUAACGUAGCGAAAGCUACGCUAAUACCGCAUACGAUCUACGGAUGAAAGCGGGGGAUCGCAAGACCUCGCGCGAUUGGAGCGGCCGAUAUCAGAUUAGGUAGUUGGUGAGGUAAAGGCUCACCAAGCCGACGAUCUGUAGCUGGUCUGAGAGGACGACCAGCCACACUGGGGCUGAGACACGGCCCAGACUCCUACGGGAGGCAGCAGUGGGGAAUUUUGGACAAUGGGCGCAAGCCUGAUCCAGCAAUGCCGCGUGCAGGAUGAAGGCC
rnacentral:rRNA from 1 species